CAGCAGUCGCCACGGGAAGACAGAGGAUGCAAGCGUUAUCCGGAAUGAUUGGGUGUAAAGCGUCUGUAGGUGGCUUUUCAAGUCCGCCGUCAAAUCCCAAGGCUCAACCCUGGACAGGCGGUGGAAACUACCAAGCUGGAGUACAGUAGGGGCAGAGGGAAUUUCCGGUGGAGUGGUGAAAUGCGUUGAGAUCGGAGAGAACACCAACGGCGAAAGCACUCUGCUAGGCCGACAUUGACACUGAGAGAUGACAGCUAGGGGAGCAAAUGGGAUUAGAUACCCCAGUAGUCCCUGUCUCUUAUAU
rnacentral:rRNA from 1 species